UACGUAGGGGGCAAGCGUUGUCCGGAUUUAUUGGGCGUAAAGCGCUCGCAGGUGGUUCGUUGCGUCGUGCGUGAAAGACCCCGGCUCAACUGGGGGGUGUCGUGCGAUACGGGCGGACUGGAGGCCAGUAGGGGGAUGUGGAAUUCCGGGUGUAGUGGUGGAAUGCGUAGAGAUCCGGAGGAACACCAGCGGCGAAGGCGGCAUCCUGGACUGGUCCUGACACUCAUGAGCGAAAGCGUGGGGAGCGAGUCCGG
rnacentral:rRNA from 1 species